rnacentral:miRNA from 1 species
UAUUAGGUUGGUGCAAAAGUAAUUGUGGUUUUUAUUAGAAGUAAUGGCAAAAACCACAAUUACUUUUGCACGGACUUAAUA